AAGGACCAUCUGCUACCGGCCCCAGCCCAGAUGAUACAGUUAGAACCUACCCGCAGCAUCCUCUCCCGCCUUCAGACAGUUCCAGGAACAAGGGUGAGUCAGUCGCCCAGCUGAACUCCUGUCUUGCUACCCUGAGAGCCGGCCUCAGUGCCAGCAGACGGGCCGCUCCUGCCAGAGGGGCAGGUGCCCCUGGCGGCUUCUCAGCCCCUGGAAGGGCACCCCCACUCCCCCAGCACUGCUGUCUGCAGGCAGAGCCGAGGAAGGCCCCUGGAGAGCUCCAGCCGGCUCUUCUCAGCUAAGCCCCACCCCCUGGGGCUGCAGUCUGGUUCUCAAGUUCCACUGCACAUGUGACAGCUUCCACUGCAGCUCCUCAGGAAGCCCGCUGCAGAGAAGCGAGGUCCAGAGGUCUCUGGAAGGACCCCUGGGUCUCUUCUGGGGGGUGCAAAGAGGUUGGGCCCCUUCUCGCUGGGUGGGGUGGGCCCGGCCCGGGGAGGAUGUCAUUAAACACUGACCACAGGCACUCAGCGGGGGGCUUUGCUCCCCUGCCCUCCUUCCCUCACCUCCACACCUCCAGGCUCUCUGUGAAUAGAGGCUAUUUCACCAGGCGGACAGCGCAGACUGCACUCAGGUCGUGACUCUGGGUGCUGCCAGGGCAAGGUGUACGUAAUCCCCUGAGCCUCAGUCUGUUCGCCUGUAAAGUGGGGGGAAAUCUGACCUACUUCCGAGGGUGUCUGAGCAGUCAAGAGUGGGAGGGACCUGGUACAGCACCUGGCUAUGCUUUUCUCUAUCGUGAACUUCAGAGGGUCUGUCCUUUGAAUGGCCCACAAUGCUGGGGGACUUUUCGACAACGUGGGCCUGUAACUCAGCACUUCCCCCCCACGCACUCUCCGUGGGCCUGGCCUCUCUCCUUCUGCCAGCUGGCUGUUUUUGCUGCAGGGACCCAGGUUUAUGAAGCACAUGGGCUGCAGCUGACUGGCUCCCAAGGGUGUGAUCAUCAGAACCACUGCCCUCCCCACCCCCGCCGGUGACAGAAGCCCCUGGAACUCGCAGCCCCGGGGUUUUCUCAGUGCCCCUCCGUCCCUCUGACCCCGCUGCUGCUCUUCCCCGGGGUGGGGGCCCGUGCCCGGCUGGCCUCGCCCUUCACUUCCCCGCCACCCCCCAGCCGCGUCGCCGAGCAUUAUCGGGCGUGUGCAGCCGGCGGUGGCCCGGGAGCGCCCCGGGAACGGGCGUGGGGCCGAGGCCCGCCGGCGCCGCUUCCUGUCCCGGAGUCAAUCUGCCGCUGCUCUGCGGAGUCCUACAGUUUAUCUGUGGUCAGUGCUCCUACCCAUUUCCUGCCAGCUGCUACUGGUUUUCUAGCCCCGCGGGCUACAGUAACUGGGAAGGGGCCCGGGCUUCGUGAUUCCCCGGCGCGGCGCUGACCCGGUCCGAGGGGUGCAGGGGGACGCCCCGCCUCUGUGUCCGGGCCUUCCCCGGGCCGCGCCAGUGCCGCCGCCCAGAGGGCCCACACACUCGUCGCCAACCGAAAGCUGGCGUGCGUGCCUGCGUGCGUGCACGCG
rnacentral:lncRNA from 1 species